rnacentral:rRNA from 1 species
UACAGAGGUCUCAAGCGUUGUUCGGAUUCAUUGGGCGUAAAGGGUGCGUAGGCGGCGCGGUAAGUCGGGUGUGAAAUCUCGGAGCUUAACUCCGAAACUGCAUUCGAUACUGCCGUGCUUGAGGACUGGAGAGGAGACUGGAAUUUACGGUGUAGCGGUGAAAUGCGUAGAGAUGUGGAGGAACACCAGUGGCGAAGGCGACUCUUUGGCCUGUAACUGACACUGAGGCGCGAAAGCGUGGGGGAGCAAACAGG